UAUUUAUUUAUUUUUAUGUGGUGCUGAGGAUCGAACCCAGUGCCUCACACAUGCUAGACGAGUGUUCUACCACUGAGCUACAACCCCAGGCCCCCAGACCACUCCUCUCAACUGGAUCUUCAUAUUUUCUGUCUAUGGAACCAAACUCCUCUACUCACCUCCUUGGAACACUUAGUGCAUUUUGUAGAAUGAUGUAUUGUUGGAUUCUAGAAUGACAAAUAAAGCCAAUUAAGAUAAGCUGUUAUAAUUUUGUCUUUCGACACACCCAAUAGUCC
rnacentral:lncRNA from 1 species